rnacentral:rRNA from 1 species
AUACGGAGGAUGCAAGCGUUAUCCGGAUUUAUUGGGUUUAAAGGGUGCGUAGGCUGACGUGUAAGUCAGAGGUGAAAUCUCCGGGCUCAACCUGGGAACUGCCUUUGAUACUGCAUGUCUGGAGUUCGGAUGCCGUGGGAGGAAUGGGCAGUGUAGCGGUGAAAUGCAUAGAUAUUGCCCAGAACACCGAUUGCGAAGGCAUCUCACGAAUCCGACACUGACGCUGAGGCACGAAAGCGUGGGGAUCAAACAGGAUUAGAUACCCUGGUAGUCCACGCAGUAAACGAUGAUAACUAACCGUCGGCGAUGGACAGUCGGUGGCCAAGCGAAAGCGAUAAGUUAUCCACCUGGGGAGUACGUUCGCAAGAAUGAAACUCAAAUGAAUUGACGGGG